rnacentral:rRNA from 1 species
GUACACUCCUACGGGAGGCAGCAGUAGGGAAUCUUCCACAAUGGGUGCAAACCUGAUGGAGCAAUGCCGCGUGAGUGAAGAAGGUCUUCGGAUCGUAAAGCUCUGUUGUUAGAGAAGAACACGUGCUAGGUAACUACUAGCGCCUUGACGGUAUCUAACCAGAAAGUCACGGCUAACUACGUGCCAGCAGCCGCGGUAAUACGUAGGUGACAAGCGUUGUCCGGAUUUAUUGGGCGUAAAGGGAGCGCAGGCGGUCUGUUUAGUCUAAUGUGAAAGCCCACGGCUUAACCGUGGAACGGCAUUGGAAACUGACAGACUUGAAUGUAGAAGAGGAAAAUGGAAUUCCAAGUGUAGCGGUGGAAUGCGUAGAUAUUUGGAGGAACACCAGUGGCGAAGGCGAUUUUCUGGUCUAACAUUGACGCUGAGGCUCGAAAGCGUGGGGAGCGAACAGGAUUAGAAACCCCGGUAGUCCCA